GUACACAUAAGCCACACGUGUUGGACUGUAGAAUAGGGGAUGGGAUGGGGAGAUGAGGAGAGAAUCUUUAGCCGUGCAUGUACAGGAGAUCCGAAAGACUUCUAAACAUGGGUGUGGCUGUAAUUCUACAAGGUCUGUACCCUUCAAAGAUUCAUGGACCAGAAUCUUGGUCCUCAAUAUGGGAGUAUAAAAGAUGGAAGAACUUUUGAGAGGUGGAGUAUAAUGGAAGGUAAUGAGAUCAUUGAGGACAAUAUCCUUGGAU
rnacentral:lncRNA from 1 species